rnacentral:rRNA from 1 species
UACAGAGGUGGCAAGCGUUGUUCGGAAUUACUGGGCGUAAAGGGCGCGUAGGCGGCCCGUCAAGUCCCGUGUGAAAUCCCACGGCUCAACCGUGGAAGUGCAUUCGAAACUGCAGGGCUAGAGUCCUGGAGAGGAAGGUGGAAUGCUUGGUGUAGAGGUGAAAUUCGUAGAUAUCAAGCGGAACACCGGUGGCGAAGGCGGCCUUCUGGACAGUGACUGACGCUGAGACGCGAAAGCGUGGGGAGCAAACAGG